GAUGAACGCUGGCGGCGUGCUUAACACAUGCAAGUCGAACGAUGAAGCCCUGCUUUUUUGGUGUAUUCGUGUCGAACGCGUGUGUAACACGUGUGUAUCCUCCCCUUUUCUCUUUGAUAUGCCUUCGAAACUCUGUCUAUUACCCCAUAUGAGCGUCCCCCCCAUGUUGUGUGUUUUGAGAUUUGUCGGUUUUUGAUGGACUCGCGGCCUAUCAGCUUGUUGGUGGGGUAGUGGUUCACGAAGGCGACGACGGGUAGCCGGCCUGAGAGGGUGACCGGCCACAAUGGGACUGAGAGACGGCCCAGACUCCUACGGGAGGCAGCAGUGGGGAAUAUUGCACAAUGGGCGGAAGCCUGAUGCAGCGACGCCGCGUGAGGGAUGACGGCCUUCGGGUUGUAAACCGCUUUCAGUAGGGAAGAAGCGAAAGUGACGGUAACGGGAGAAGAAGCACCGGCUAACUACGUG
rnacentral:rRNA from 1 species